AGAGUUUGAUCCUGGCUCAGGACGAACGCUGGCGGCGUGCCUAAUACAUUCAAGUCGAGCGGAUUGAUGGGAGCUUGCUCCCAUCAAUCAGCGGCGGACGGGUGAGUAACACUUGGGUAACCUGCCUGUAAGACUGGGAUAACUCCGGGAAACCGGGGCUAAUACCGGAUAACUCAUUUCCUCGCAUGAGGAAAUGUUGAAAGGUGGCUUUUAGCUAUCACUUACAGAUGGACCCGCGGCGCAUUAGCUAGUUGGUGAGGUAAUGGCUCACCAAGGCGAUGAUGCGUAGCCGACCUGAGAGGGUGAUCGGCCACACUGGGACUGAGACACGGCCCAGACUCCUACGGGAGGCAGCAGUAGGGAAUCUUCCGCAAUGGACGAAAGUCUGACGGAGCAACGCCGCGUGAGUGAUGAAGGUUUUCGGAUCGUAAAGCUCUGUUGUUAGGGAAGAACAAGUACCGUUCGAAUAGGGCGGUACCUUGACGGUACCUAACCAGAAAGCCACGGCUAACUACGUGCCAGCAGCCGCGGUAAUACGUAGGUGGCAAGCGUUGUCCGGAAUUAUUGGGCGUAAAGCGCGCGCAGGUGGUUUCUUAAGUCUGAUGUGAAAGCCCACGGCUCAACCCGUGGGAGGGUCAUUGGAAACUGGGGG
rnacentral:rRNA from 1 species